rnacentral:ncRNA from 1 species
CAAAAAACGUCGAUAAGGAUUAGUAAAAUGUCCCGUCUUUUUUAGAGAGGAAACGGUUGGUGCAAGUUUCCAAAAGGCCCAUUUGAACCUGCCUUUGAGUUCUGUAUCGAUAGACUAAGAUACAUGCGGUUAUUCAAAACCGUUAUCAGUAAAGAGUGUACAGCUAAGCUGUAAAUAAGGGUGGUACCACCAGGCCUCGGUCCCUUUU